rnacentral:rRNA from 1 species
GACGAACGCUGGCGGCGUGCCUAAUACAUGCAAGUAGAACGCACAGUUUAUACCGUAGCUUGCUACACCAUAGACUGUGAGUUGCGAACGGGUGAGUAACGCGUAGGUAACCUGCCUGGUAGCGGGGGAUAACUAUUGGAAACGAUAGCUAAUACCGCAUAAUAUUAAUUAUUGCAUGAUAAUUAAUUGAAAGGUGCAAUUGCACCACUACCAGAUGGACCUGCGUUGUAUUAGCUAGUAGGUGAGGUAACGGCUCACCUAGGCGACGAUACAUAGCCGACCUGAGAGGGUGAGCGGCCACACUGGGACUGAGACACGGCCCAGACUCCUACGGGAAGCAGCAGUAGGGAAUCUUCGGCAAUGGACGAAAGUCUGACCGAGCAACGCCGCGUGAGUGAAGAAGGUUUUCGGAUCGUAAAGCUCUGUUGUAAGAGAAGAACGGGUGUGAGAGUGGAAAGUUCACACUGUGACGGUAUCUUACCAGAAAGGGACGGCUAACUACGUG